rnacentral:rRNA from 1 species
UGCUGUUUCGCUGACGAGUGGCGGACGGGUGAGUAAUGUCUGGGAAACUGCCUGAUGGAGGGGGAUAACUACUGGAAACGGUAGCUAAUACCGCAUAACGUCGCAAGACCAAAGAGGGGGACCUUCGGGCCUCUUGCCAUCAGAUGUGCCCAGAUGGGAUUAGCUAGUAGGUGGGGUAACGGCUCACCUAGGCGACGAUCCCUAGCUGGUCUGAGAGGAUGACCAGCCACACUGGAACUGAGACACGGUCCAGACUCCUACGGGAGGCAGCAGUGGGGAAUAUUGCACAAUGGGCGCAAGCCUGAUGCAGCCAUGCCGCGUGUAUGAAGAAGGCCUUCGGGUUGUAAAGUACUUUCAGCGGGGAGGAAGGGAGUAAAGUUAAUACCUUUGCUCAUUGACGUUACCCGCAGAAGAAGCACCGGCUAACUCCGUGCCAGCAGCCGCGGUAAUACGGAGGGUGCAAGCGUUAAUCGGAAUUACUGGGCGUAAAGCGCACGCAGGCGGUUUGUUAAGUCAGAUGUGAAAUCCCCGGGCUCAACCUGGGAACUGCAUCUGAUACUGGCAAGCUUGAGUCUCGUAGAGGGGGGUAGAAUUCCAGGUGUAGCGGUGAAAUGCGUAGAGAUCUGGAGGAAUACCGGUGGCGAAG